GAUGAACGCUGGCGGCGUGCNUAAUACAUGCAAGUCGAGCGAACGGACGAGAAGCUUGCUUCUCUGAUGUUAGCGGCGGACGGGUGAGUAACACGUGGAUAACCUACCUAUAAGACUGGGAUAACUUCGGGAAACCGGAGCUAAUACCGGAUAAUAUUUUGAACCGCAUGGUUCAAAAGUGAAAGACGGUCUUGCUGUCACUUAUAGAUGGAUCCGCGCUGCAUUAGCUAGUUGGUAAGGUAACGGCUUACCAAGGCAACGAUGCAUAGCCGACCUGAGAGGGUGAUCGGCCACACUGGAACUGAGACACGGUCCAGACUCCUACGGGAGGCAGCAGUAGGGAAUCUUCCGCAAUGGGCGAAAGCCUGACGGAGCAACGCCGCGUGAGUGAUGAAGGUCUUCGGAUCGUAAAACUCUGUUAUUAGGGAAGAACAUAUGUGUAAGUAACUGUGCACAUCUUGACGGUACCUAAUCAGAAAGCCACGGCUAACUACGUGCCAGCAGCCGCGGUAAUACGUAGGUGGCAAGCGUUAUCCGGAAUUAUUGGGCGUAAAGCGCGCGUAGGCGGUUUUUUAAGUCUGAUGUGAAAGCCCACGGCUCAACCGUGGAGGGUCAUUGGAAACUGGAAAACUUGAGUGCAGAAGAGGAAAGUGGAAUUCCAUGUGUAGCGGUGAAAUGCGCAGAGAUAUGGAGGAACACCAGUGGCGAAGGCGACUUUCUGGUCUGUAACUGACGCUGAUGUGCGAAAGCGUGGGGAUCAAACAGGAUUAGAUACCCUGGUAGUCCACGCCGUAAACGAUGAGUGCUAAGUGUUAGGGGGUUUCCGCCCCUUAGUGCUGCAGCUAACGCAUUAAGCACUCCGCCUGGGGAGUACGACCGCAAGGUUGAAACUCAAAGGAAUUGACGGGGACCCGCACAAGCGGUGGAGCAUGUGGUUUAAUUCGAAGCAACGCGAAGAACCUUACCAAAUCUUGACAUCCUUUGACAACUCUAGAGAUAGAGCUUUCCCCUUCGGGGGACAAAGUGACAGGUGGUGCAUGGUUGUCGUCAGCUCGUGUCGUGAGAUGUUGGGUUAAGUCCCGCAACGAGCGCAACCCUUAAGCUUAGUUGCCAUCAUUAAGUUGGGCACUCUAAGUUGACUGCCGGUGACAAACCGGAGGAAGGUGGGGAUGACGUCAAAUCAUCAUGCCCCUUAUGAUUUGGGCUACACACGUGCUACAAUGGACAAUACAAAGGGCAGCGAAACCGCGAGGUCAAGCAAAUCCCAUAAAGUUGUUCUCAGUUCGGAUUGUAGUCUGCAACUCGACUACAUGAAGCUGGAAUCGCUAGUAAUCGUAGAUCAGCAUGCUACGGUGAAUACGUUCCCGGGUCUUGUACACACCGCCCGUCACACCACGAGAGUUUGUAACACCCGAAGCCGGUGGAGUAACCUUUUAGGAGCUAGCCGUCGAAGGUGGGACAAAUGAUUGGGGUGAAG
rnacentral:rRNA from 1 species